UACGUAGGGUGCGAGCGUUGUCCGGAAUUAUUGGGCGUAAAGAGUUCGUAGGCGGUUUGUCGCGUCGUUUGUGAAAACCAGCAGCUCAACUGCUGGCUUGCAGGCGAUACGGGCAGACUUGAGUACUGCAGGGGAGACUGGAAUUCCUGGUGUAGCGGUGAAAUGCGCAGAUAUCAGGAGGAACACCGGUGGCGAAGGCGGGUCUCUGGGCAGUAACUGACGCUGAGGAACGAAAGCGUGGGUAGCGAACAGG
rnacentral:rRNA from 1 species